GAUGAACGCUAGCGGCAGGCCUAACACAUGCAAGUCGAGGGGUAACAGGUGUAGCAAUACAUGCUGACGACCGGCGCACGGGUGAGUAACGCGUAUGCAACCUACCUUCAGCUGGGGGAUAGCCCGGAGAAAUCCGGAUUAAUACCCCAUAACAUUUCCGGGUCGCAUGACCUGGUAAUUAAAGCUCCGGCGGCUGUUGAUGGGCAUGCGUGGCAUUAGCUUGUUGGUGAGGUAACGGCGUCACCAAGGCUACGAUGCCUAGGGGGUCUGAGAGGAUAAUCCCCCACACUGGUACUGAGACACGGACCAGACUCCUACGGGUGGCUG
rnacentral:rRNA from 1 species